UUUACCUGUUACGUCACCUCGAAUAAGCUUGAUCUUGUCUGAUCUUGGAAGUUAAGCAGGAUUGGGCCUGGUUAGUACUUGGAUGGGAGAAAGAUCUUUUGAGAUAAAAGCUGCUUCCAAAU
rnacentral:rRNA from 1 species